CCGGCCAUAGCAAGAACAAAGAGAGGAAAAGAUAAACAAGAAACCUAGGUGGGAAAAUUAAAGAAAAAGUGUGGGAUUUCAAGGAAUCAAGCCAUCAAAGGUAAAAUUUCUUGAUUUUGACUUGUGAUCUACCUUUCCCAUGCUUUUCUCCUUAUUUUCCAUGGUUAGAUUUCAUGUUUUCAUGGUGAAUUCAUGGCUGCCCAAAUGGGUAUGGAGAGAGAAUGAAGUUAGAUGAGAAUGAAGUUAGAUUGAUUUGAUUUUAAGUUAUGUUAGUGUUUUAAGUUAGUUUAGCAUAUUUAGAAACAAAACAACAAGAAAAGAAUUCAUUUUCUCCCAUUACCAUCAUUUGCUGAAUUUCCUAGGGAGAAUAUUGUGGCUGAAUUUGAUGAUAUUUCAUUAUAUUUUGGUGAUAUUUGAUGGUUGGUGACGCUAGGAAUUAAAUGGGAAAUUUUGAUGCGAAAAUACGAAUUUUUGCUUAACAUAUAGACAUGUGUAAUUAUUGACCCGAGACUGAUAAAUUGAAUCUCAUUCACAGUCACUGAGGUAAUUUAGGUAUAAUUGGAGUAUAGAAAGUGAAAAGAAUUGAUUUGGAGUUAAAUUGGAUAUUUUAGCCGAUUAGAUCGAGUAUAGUGUGACUUAGGUCGAAUAUUACAUUUAAGUGAUUAAUCGGACAUUUUGCAUUCCAUAUCAUGCAUUAGUAGUCUAAAUUAGUUUAAUUUCAAUUUAGUACCAAUGUAGUGAAUUUCUCGAUUUCAUACUGUGUUAAGGUGGUGAGUCCUCCAAUAAAGGCAAGAAAAUUGCACCCGAAGACUAAUAGUCUGAGUAUUUCAAAAAUUUGUACUCUAGACAUUGUGAGUAAACUUAAUGUCAUUUUAAUUAUCUAGGGUGGUUUUUAGAUGAUUUCAUGAAUUCUAUGGAAAAAGGAAUUUAAAAAGGUAAAUUUUCAUGUUUUAUGAAUAAAUAUGUUUCAAUGAAAUCAAUUUAUAAACUGUUUUGAAAUUAAUAAUGAUUUUGAAAAAUAGAGUACACGGAGACUACUCUUUGUUACAAUUUGAUUGUUUAAAUUGAUGGCUUUUGUUAAUGUGUUGGCAUGACUGGCUAGGUUGUGAUUCUGUGAACUAUAUGAAUUGUUCUAUUUUACACUUGCAGGCUGGGUAGUAUUAUAUUAGUCAUGUCAUGCUGUCAAAAUUUUAUUGAAUUGGGGGAAUAUAUAUUAAUUAAUCACUGCAGUAGGGGGUUUUUGUGGACCAGCCUUUUAGAGGGGCACGGUAAACCCCAUUAUAUUCUUACCUCGAAUGGAGAGGCGUGUAGGGUAUCUCUUGGGGUAAAGUUUAGAGUUCAUUUCACGCUAAACCACCACGUGAGAGUGAACUCCGCUAACACCAAGGAAUGGCUGUGUUUUUCAAACUAAAAAUAUGUUUUACGUGUAUAUGAAUUUUUAACAGCCAUGACGGUCUCGGUAGGAUGCCUCGGGCAAGGUGUCCCUAAGAAUGGAUUUAUGGCACAAGCUUAGUUUUUAUAAGAUUCAUAAGUCUCUUUACGUAUUUUGAAUGAAAUGUGUUCUAAUACUCUGACCCAAUUUACAAUGAUUUACUUUAUUGUCUCCAUGUACUCAACUCUAGAUGUUUAUGGUGAUGUCUAUUUGCUCAUUGGGAUUUUAUAAUCUCACCACCCUCUUUUCCACCCAUUUCAGGCUCAGAUUAGACUGUAGAUAGUUGAUCUCAUCGAGGACUACCGUUGGGUUUGUAUUCUUCAAACUGUAGGUUUAUAGUCCUCUUUACUUUUGUUUAUUCGGGGGCCCACUUAUUAUUGUAAAUUAAAUUAAAUACUUUGGCUUAUUGUAUUACAAUAUGUAUGAAUUUAUUUAACUUUUAC
rnacentral:lncRNA from 1 species